GCUGACAUCUGAUAGUGCUCACAUAAAGACAGCGGUGGGAGAUUUGAGGGGCUGAUGGGAGGUCUGAGGACCUGGUAGAAACCACGCCGCCCUCGUGCGAUCUCACAGCUCGUCCUCGUUCGGCCUCGGCUGCAUCGGAGCGCCACUUCUCCCCGGGUUCACCAGAGGAAACACCACUGCACAAAAUGCUUCUCCUCCCAGCUGCUGCUCUGUGCUGUCUGUGUUCAGCGCUGGUUGCCAUGGCAGCAGAGCUGAUUCAGGAUGAUUUAACAUUGACCAGGAGAGUUGGUGAAAAAGUCUCCUUCAGCUGUCGAGGAACUCAACAGUGUAGCAGUAAUAAUGUAUACUGGUACCAGAAGAAAGACACAGAAACAUUCAGAAGGAUUCUACGUUUUGACAGGAGUGAUGGUGAAGUUUAUUCAGGUUACAAUCACCCUCAGAAAGAUGAUUUCUCAGCUGUGAAUAAACAGGACGGCUGUGAGUUGGAGAUCAAGUCAGUUAAACUCCAUCAUUCAGCCUCCUACUACUGCAGCUGUU